rnacentral:lncRNA from 1 species
GUUUCUUUAAGAGGUCCUCUUUUCCUCCCUGGAUUCUCCGUAGGUCUGGUUUCUUGAAUUGACAGAAUGUGCAAAUCAGUCCAAGACAGUCUUAUUUUGUUUUCUACAUGGUGAUUUUCUCUGUAUGGUAAAGUCUGACUUUUUUUUCUUUUUUUUUCCUAUUUUAAGCAGGCUAAUGAUUUUACGAACAGUGUGAAAUGGAAUGAUGACCCUCUCGCACUUGGACGAGGCUCUGCAAAUUGGGCACUGAAUGAGAAACUCUGAAGCUUGCUCUGCAGCCUCCCUCGCUGACGCCACAUUCCAUUGUGUUCCUCAGCCGUGGACAGAGCUGCUGGCGACACCUCUCCUCUUUGGAACGCCAUCACCCGUGGACUCGGGGCCACCGUGAGCUGUCCAUCCCUCAGCCUCCGAGUCACACCUUCAAACGCAGCUGUGUCUGCACCGUCCCAGCUCCAGACCUCUGGAGGGUCUCUCAGCGCAAAGUCCUUUCGUUUGCUUUAUGGGGGUAGUAAAUCAUUCCACACACCAUGCAGCAGAGGGAAAGCCAGAUUUAUUAGACCUACCUCUUGGUUCUUUCAGAGGAAUCCCCAUGUUUACAAGUUGAAAUCCAAAAUGCACAAAUGGUCAGCUCACAAUUCUUUGACCCGUGAACAUCUGUGGGCCUGGGUGUUCCCUGGGAAUCGGCAGUGCCGGAGCUGUGAGCCAAGCCUGCCCUAGGCAGAAAGGAAUUCUCAAGAAGUGCAACAGUCGGUGAGUGGGGAAGCCGGCUAGUGAUCAGGGCCUGGUUAUCCUCUAGCCUGGUUUUCCAGGGGCAUGUCUGCACUCAACUUCAACUCGUUUUAUGAACUGCAUUUGACUUUAUUUUUUGAGAUGGGUCCAUUGGAAAUGCUUCACAGGACAUAGGACAUGAAUCUUCAUUUUGCCUUUAAGAAAAAUAAAACUAUAAUCUGAGAUGGGCAAAUGUGGUUCAAGUCUGUUUACUCGGAAACAAGAAGCUCUC